AUGAAGGCGACUGCGCCGCCGGCGAAGAGGCGGAGGGGCCCGCGGCUGGCGGUGCUGGCGCUCGUCUUCUGCUCGCUGCUCGUACCGAUCGCCUUCCUUUUCAACCGCUUCCCCGCCGUGUACGUGACGGAUGAGCGCCCCCAACAGGAGGUUACUUUGCCUUCAUUCGAUCGCUUAGUGGUAGAAAGAGACAGGAUUGUACAUCAAGUGCCGCGGCAGGGUGGUAGAGAUGUGAACGCAGAGACAGAGGUUACUCAGGAUGUGCACGGAAAGAAUUCCAAGGGCAAUAUAGACUUGCAUCACCAAAUUGAUACUGAACAUAAAGUUAAAGUUCUCCCCCCACCAAAAAUUGAACAAGUGAAGCCAGUACCAGUUCCAGUUCCACCCAGAAAAGAUUUCAGUGACAACAUGAGACGUCCCAGGGUCCCAAGUGCUGAUGAAUUGGAGAAGGCUAAGGCUUGUCAACUUGAAUUCGGGAGUUACUGUCUCUGGUCCAUUGAACACAAAGAAGUUAUGAAAGAUGCCAUUGUAAAAAAACUAAAAGAUCAGCUAUUUGUGGCUCGAUCUUACUACCCGAGCAUUGCCAAACUUAAAGGAAAGGAGGCACUGACUCGUGAAUUGAAGCAGAAUAUCCAAGAACAUGAAAGGGUUCUAAGUGAAUCCAUUGUUGAUGCUGAUCUACCAUCCUUCAUAAAAAAGAAGAUAGAGAGGAUGGACCGUGCAAUAGCAAGAGCCAAAUCAUGCACUGUGGAUUGUAACAAUGUUGACAAAAAGCUUCGCCAGAUACUUCAUAUGACGGACGAUGAAGCUCAUUUUCAUAUGAAGCAGAGUGCCUACUUAUACAACCUUGGUGUUCACACGAUGCCCAAAAGUCAUCACUGUCUUAAUAUGAGGUUGACAGUAGAAUAUUUUAAAUCAACUACAUUGGAUUCAGAUGACUCUCCUGUCCAUAAGUUUAAUGUUCCAGAUCAUAGGCACUACGUUAUAUUAUCUAAAAAUGUGCUUGCCGCUUCCGUUGUCAUCAACUCAUCUGUUAGUAGUUCUGAGGAGACCAGGAAUGUAGUCUUUCAUGUACUAACCGAUGCUCAAAAUUUCUAUGCAAUGAAGCAUUGGUUUUCAAGAAAUGCCUACAGAGAAUCAGCUGUCAAUGUCAUUAACUACGAGCAUAUUAUUUUGGAGAGUUUGCCAGAUUUCAGCAUGCAGCAGUUGUAUAUGCCUGAGGAAUUCCGUGUUUUCAUCAGUAGCUUUGAGCGACCUACCGAGAAAUCUAGAAUGGAGUAUUUAUCAGUGUUUAGUCACUCACAUUUCUUUAUUCCGGAAAUAUUUAAAGAUUUAAAGAAGGUGAUUGUGUUGGAUGAUGAUGUCAUUGUUCAACGUGAUCUCUCUUUCUUGUGGAAUCUUGAUAUGGGAGAUAAGGUAAAUGCCGCAGUCAAGUUUUGUGGCCUGAGACUGGGCCAACUAAGAAACCUUCUCGGCGAGGCAAUGUACGAUCCCCAGUCAUGUGCAUGGAUGUCUGGGUUGAAUGUCAUUAAUUUGGAAAAAUGGAGAGAGUAUAAUGUUACAGAGAAUUACCUGCAACUCCUGGAAAAGUUCCGGAACAAUGACGAUGAGGCCUCACUACGAGCUGCAGCUUUACCUAUAAGCUUGCUUUCCUUCCAGAAUCUUGUAUAUCCUCUUGAUGAGAGGUUGACUUUAUCUGGGCUUGGCUAUCAGUACGGAAUUGAAGAAAAAGUGAUCCGAACUUCUGCAUCGUUGCAUUACAAUGGUAAUAUGAAACCUUGGCUUGAAUUGGGUAUACCAAAUUACAGGAAGUACUGGAAGAGGUUUCUGGCACGAGAUGAGCGAUUCAUGGACGAGUGCAAUGUAAGUCCAUAG
rnacentral:rRNA from 1 species